UACAGGGGGUGCAAACGUUGCUCGGAAUUAUUGGGCCUAAAGCAUCCGUAGCCGGUUCUGCAAGUCUUCCGUUAAAUCCACCUGCUUAACAGAUGGGCCGCGGAAGGUACUAUAGAGCUAGGAGGCGGGAGAGGCAAGCGGUACUCGAUGGGUAGGGGUAAAAUCCGUUGAUCCAUUGAAGACCACCAGUGGCGAAGGCGGCUUGCCAGAACGCGCUCGACGGUGUGGGAUGAAAGCUGGGGGAGCAAACCGG
rnacentral:rRNA from 1 species